rnacentral:rRNA from 1 species
AAUGAACGCUGGCGGCAGGCCUAAAACAUGCAAGUCGAACGAUGUAGCAAUACAGAGUGGCGCACGGGUGAGUAACAUGUGGGAAUAUGCCUUUUGGUACGGAACAACGUUUGGAAACGAACGCUAAUACCGUAUGGUCCCUUCGGGGUAAAGAUUUAUCGCCAAAAGAGUAGCCCGCACUAGAUUAGUUUGUUGGUAAGGUAAUGGCUUACCAAGACUACGAUCUAUAGUUGGUUUGAGAGGAUGAUCAGCCACACUGGAACUGAGACACGGUCCAGACUCCUACGGGAGGCAGCAGUUAGGAAUAUUGGACAAUGGGCGCAAGCCUGAUCCAGCCAUGUCGCGUGAACGAUGAAGGCCUUCGGGUUGUAAAGUUCUUUAGCCGAUGAAUAUAAUGAAUGUAGUCGGAGAAUAAGCCCCGGCUAACUCGUGCCAGCAGCCGCGGUAAUACGAAGGGGGCGAGCGUUAUUCGGAAUCACUGGGCGUAAAGCGUACGUAGGCGGUUUAAUAAGUUAGAAGUGAAAGCCCAGGGCUCAACCUUGGAAUUGCUUUUAAAACUAUUAAACUCGAAUCUCGGAGGGGAUGUUGGAAGUUCCAGUUUAUAGGUGAAAUUCGUAGAUAUUGGAAGGAACACCAGUGGCGAAGGCGACCAUCUGGACGAGUAUUGACGCUGAGGCACGAAAGCGUGGGGAGCAAACAGGAUUAGAUACCCUGGUAGUCCACGCCGUAAACGAUGUAAAACUAGCCGUUGGGACCUUAGGUUUCAGUGGCGCAGCUAACGCACUAAGUUUACCGCCUGGGGAGUACGGCCGCAAGGUUAAAACUCAAAGGAAUUGACGGGGACCCGCACAAGCGGUGGAGCAUGUGGUUUAAUUCGAUGCAACGCGCAGAACCUUAUCAGCCCUUGACAUCCCGAUUGGGAGGAGCAGAGAUGCAUUUCUUCGGUUCGGCCGGGGAGUGAAUAGGUGCUGCAUGGCUGUCGUCAGCUCGUGUCGUGAGAUGUUAGGUUAAGUCCUGCAACGAGCGCAACCCUUAUCGUAUGUUGCCAUCAGGUUAUGCUGGGAACUCAUGCGAGACUGCCGGUGAUAAGCCGGAGGAAGGCGGGACGACGGUCAAGUCAUCAUGCCCCUUACGUGUGGGGCUACAAACGUGCUACAAUGGUAACGCAAUGGGCAGCCACUUCGCAAGAAGGCGCUAAUCUCCAAACGUUAUCUCAGUUCGGAUUGUUCUCUGCAACUCGAGAGCAUGAAGUUGGAAUCGCUAGUAAUCGUGCAUCAGCAUGUCACGGUGAAUACGUUCCCGGGUCUUGUACACACCGCCCGUCACGUCAUGGGAGUUGGUUCUACCCGAAGGCGGGGCGCUAACCGUAAGGAGGCAGGCGACCACGGUAGUGUCAGCGACUGGGGUG